ACUCCUACGGGAGGCAGCAGUGGGGAAUCUUGCGCAAUGGGCGAAAGCCUGACGCAGCGACGCCGCGUGAGGGAAGAAGGCCUUCGGGUUGUAAACCUCUUUCAGCAGGGACGAAGCUACUCGGGUUAACAGCCCAGAGGGUGACGGCACCUGUAGAAGAAGCCCCGGCUAACUACGUGCCAGCAGCCGCGGUAAUACGUAGGGGGCAAGCGUUGUCCGGAUUUACUGGGCGUAAAGAGCGUGUAGGCGGCCAGGCAGGUCUGUUGUGAAAACUGGAGGCUCAACCUCCAGACGUCGACAGAAACCGCUUGGCUAGAGUCCGGAAGAGGAGAGUGGAAUUCCUGGUGUAGCGGUGAAAUGCGCAGAUAUCAGGAAGAACACCAAUGGCGAAGGCAGCUCUCUGGGACGGUACUGACGCUGAGACGCGAAAGCGUGGGGAGCGAACAGGAUUAGAUACCCUGGUAGUCCACGCCGUAAACGAUGGGUGCU
rnacentral:rRNA from 1 species